rnacentral:rRNA from 1 species
UACGUAGGGUGCAAGCGUUAAUCGGAAUUACUGGGCGUAAAGCGUGCGCAGGCGGUUGUGCAAGACAGAUGUGAAAUCCCCGGGCUUAACCUGGGAAUGGCAUUUGUGACUGCACGGCUAGAGUGUGUCAGAGGGGGGGUAGAAUUCCACGUGUAGCAGUGAAAUGCGUAGAUAUGUGGAGGAAUACCGAUGGCGAAGGCAGCCCCCUGGGCUAACACUGACGCUCAUGCACGAAAGCGUGGGGGAGCAAACAGG